GAUGAAGAACGUAGCGAAAUGCGAUAAGUAAUGUGAAUUGCAGAAUCCAGUGAAUCAUCGAAUCUUUGAACGCACAUUGCGCCCGCCAGCAUUCUGGCGGGCAUGCCUGUUCGAGCGUCAUUUCAACCCUCGACCUCCCUUUGGGGAAGUCGGCGUUGGGGACCGGCAGCACACCGCCGGCCCUGAAAUGGAGUGGCGGCCCGUCCGCGGCGACCUCUGCGUAGUAAACCAACUCGCACCGGAACCCCGACGUGGCCACGCCGUAAAACACCCAACUUCUGAACGUUGACCUCGAAUCAGGUAGGACUACCCGCUGAACUUAAGCACAUCAAUAAGCGGAGGA
rnacentral:misc_RNA from 1 species